UGGCGGACGGGUGAGUAAUGUCUGGGAAACUGCCUGAUGGAGGGGGAUAACUACUGGAAACGGUAGCUAAUACCGCAUAACGUCGCAAGACCGAAGAGGGGGACCUUCGGGCCUCUUGCCAUCGGAUGUGCCCAGAUGGGAUUAGCUAGUAGGUGGGGUAACGGCUCACCUAGGCGACGAUCCCUAGCUGGUCUGAGAGGAUGACCAGCCACACUGGAACUGAGACACGGUCCAGACUCCUACGGGAGGCAGCAUG
rnacentral:rRNA from 1 species